rnacentral:miRNA from 1 species
UGGCUGGGGAAACUCAGCCAGAUGGGCGGGGUAUAAUAAUAAUAUAAUAAUAAUUUAUUAUUUGUACCCCGCCCAUCUGGGUGGGCUUCCCCAGCCA